UCCCUGUAGAGGUGGGGGAAAGCUGCUUGCGUCCACUAUGUGGUUCCCGAAAUACGGUCGGGAACAACUCAACAGACAAGUCGCCACAUCUGUAACGGAUGGGGUGCAUGGUCUGAAACAGACUUCACCACCAGUGAUGGUGUGUGGUAAAUGUUUCGGCGGCCAUAGCGAGAGGGAAACGCCCGGUCACAUUCCGAACCCGGAAGCUAAGACUCUCAGCGCCGAUGGUACUGCAAGGGGGACCUUGUGGGAGAGUAGGACACCGCCGGAC
rnacentral:rRNA from 1 species